UACGUAGGGUGCAAGCGUUAAUCGGAAUUACUGGGCGUAAAGCGUGCGCAGGCGGUUUUGUAAGUCUGUCGUGAAAUCCCCCGGGCUUAACCUGGGAACUGCGCUUGUUACUGGCAGGCUUGAAGUGUGGCAGAGGGGGGGUGGAAUUCCACGUGUAGCAGUGAAAUGCGUAGAGAUGUGGAGGAACACCGAUGGCGAAGGCAGCCCCCCUGGGCUAACACUGACGCUCAUGCACGAAAGCGUGGGGAGCAAACAGG
rnacentral:rRNA from 1 species